rnacentral:lncRNA from 1 species
CAUCAAUGGUGCUACACUACUCACCAAUUCACUACUUCCACCACCAACGUUAACAUCACUACCCACUCACACUUUCCACCCACACUACACACGAUACCUUGCCCCCCAUUCCCUUCCACUCACCAUUUCUCCUACAUACCAAGGAACAAGUGCAGAGGUAAGAACUGCAAUCAUAAUUUCAUAAUUUAAUUCUUACAACCUUCAGCAACUCCCAAGCUCUCUCUCUCUAAAAAAAAAAAAAACGCCACUGCCCAUGUAAGUUUGGAACUUUGAAAUUCUUUCAUUUCUUCCUUGUCUCUCUUGCAAAUUUUGAAUAAAGCAACAUCUGAAAUUUUUGUACAACUCCAUUCACAGAAGCUUAGUAAACAACAACAAAUACAACAACAAAC